rnacentral:rRNA from 1 species
UCGGCUAGGGAUGGGCUCGCGGCCUAUCAGCUUGUUGGUGGGGUGAUGGCCUACCAAGGCGACGACGGGUAGCCGGCCUGAGAGGGCGACCGGCCACACUGGGACUGAGACACGGCCCAG